rnacentral:tRNA from 1 species
GUGUUGGUGGUUCUGUGGUAGAAUUCUCACCUUCCAUGUGGGAGACUUGGGUUCAAUCUCCAGCCAACAUA